AUUGAACGCUGGCGGCAGGCCUAACACAUGCAAUUAGAGCGAGCGGCGGACGGGUGAGUAAUGUAUGGGGAUCUGCCCGAUAGAGGGGUAUAACUACUGGAAACGGUGGCUAAUACCGCAUACUAUCGGUUGAACCCAUAUGGUAUUAGCUAGUAGGUGGGGUAAAGGCUCACCUAGGCCACGAUCUCUAGCUGGUCUGAGAGGAUGAUAAGCAACACUGGGACUGAGACACGGCCCAGACUCAUACGGGAGGCAGCAGUGGGGAAUAUUGCAAAAUGGGCGCAAGCCUGAUGCAGCCAUGCCGCGUGUAUGAAGAAGGCCUUAGGGUGGUAAAGUACUUUCAGCGGGGAGGCGUUACCCGCAGAAGAAGCACCGGCUAACUCCGUGCCAGCAGCCGCGGUAAUUC
rnacentral:rRNA from 1 species